rnacentral:rRNA from 1 species
UUCCGGUUGAUCCUGCCAGACCCGACUGCUAUCAGAAUAGGACUAAGCCAUGCGAGUCAACGUAGCAAUACGUGGCAUACGGCUCAGUAACACGUAGUCAACAUGCCCAGAGGACGUGGAUAACCUCGGGAAACUGAGGAUAAACCGCGAUAGGUCAUAAUAUCUGGAAUGAUUUAUGGUUUAAAUCUAUAUGGCCUCUGGAUUGGACUGCGGCCGAUCAGGCUGUUGGUGAGGUAAUGGCCCACCAAACCUAAAACCGGUACGGGCUCUGAGAGGAGAAGCCCGGAGAUGGGCACUGAGACAAGGGCCCAGGCCCUAUGGGGCGCAGCAGGCGCGAAAACUCUGCAAUAAGCGAAAGCUUGACAGGGUUAUUCUGAGUGAUUUCCGCUAAGGAAAUCUUUUGGCACCUCUAAAAAUGGUGCAGAAUAAGGGGUGGGCAAGCCUGGCGUCAGCCGCCGCGGUAAUACCAGCACCCCGAGUGGUCGGGACGAUUAUUGGGCCUAAAGCAUCCGUAGCCGGUUCUACAAGUCUUCCGUUAAAUCCACCUGCUUAACAGAUGGGCUGCGGAGGAUACUAUGGAGCUAGGAGGCGGGAGAGGCAAGCGGUACUUAGUGGGUAGGGGUAAAAUCCGUUGAUCCAUUGGAGACCACCAGUGGCGAAGGCGGCUUGCCAGAACGCACUCGACGGUGAGGGAUGAAAGCUGGGGGAGCAAACCGGAUUAGAUACCCGGGUAGUCCCAGCUGUAAACGAUGCAGACUCGGUGAUGAAUAGGCUUCGUGCCUAUUCAGUGCCGCAGGGAAGCCGUUAAGUCUGCCGCCUGGGGAGUACGGUCGCAAGACUGAAGCUUAAAGGAAUUGGCGGGGGAGCACCACAAGGGGUGAAGCUGCGGUUCAAUUGGAUUCAACGCCGGA